CCACUUUAAGUUCUGAAAUAUGAACUAAAAAAGACCCCAUAGAGGGCUUAACUUUCUCGGAAUGUCUUUCUGAAGAGUGAUUGAGACUCUUUCAUUCAAUCUAGUGUGCAUUUUCCUCUGUUCUUUCCUUGUGACUGUUACCUUUGGUUUAGUGCUUUAUUUUUAAUAUCUCUGUUAAAGAAUUGAUGUUAGAGUAGUCUUAGUUAGAUGGUGAUUUCAUGUUUAGCUCUAGGUUUUGUUAUGUGAUUGGCUGUUAGGAUUUGUUUAGGUUUUAAUUUCCAAUUUGAGUUGCUUGUUUACGGUUCUAGUUUUAGGUAAUUUUAGUUGCAUUUUAAUAUUCAUGUUGGCUUUAGUUCUGUUGCUGUUUUAGGUAGCUUAGAGAUUUAUUUUUUUCCUUUUCUUUCUUUGCAACUAAAUUUCUUUCUUCUUUUAAUCAGUUUGUAGAUUUUAGAUUUUUAUUUUGAUUCUUUUCCUUUUAAAUUUCAAUUUCAUUUCUUUUCCCUACCUUGUUUGUUAGUUAGUUAGUUAGUAGUUAGUAAGUAAAUAAUUACAAGAUUAUAACCAUACACUUUAAACUUAACAAGCGAGUCCUUGGAUUGAUACCUAGGUUGUCCCUAUACUACAUUAGUGGGGAAAUCUAGUUUGUUCUGAUUUUGUGCGACCAAAAUCAGUCUAACA
rnacentral:lncRNA from 1 species